rnacentral:rRNA from 1 species
CAUAGCGACUAUCGUGGCAUAUCAAUAAGCGGAGGAAAAGAAACUAACAAGGAUUCCCUUAGUAACGGCGAGUGAAGCGGGAAGAGCUCAAAUUUGAAAUCUUCAAGGUUUUACCUUGACGAAUUGUAGUUUAAAGAAGUGUUUUCUGUUGGAGUUUUGGUAAAAGUUCUUUGGAAUAGGACAUCAUAGAGGGUGAGAAUCCCGUAUUUGACCAUUAUUUCCAGCUGUGUGAUACACUUUCAACGAGUCGGAUUGUUUGGGAAUGCAGUCCAAAAUGGGUGGUAAAUUUCAUCUAAAGCUAAAUAUUGGCGAGAGACCGAUAGCGAACAAGUACCGUGAGGGAAAGAUGAAAAGAACUUUGAAAAGAGAGUUAAACAGUACGUGAAAUUGUCAAAAGGGAAGCGUUUGACACCAGUGUUGUUUUUCCGAAAAUCAAUUACAAAUGAUGUUGAUUUUUGAGGUUAUGACUUCAUCAGCUUGCUGCACUUUCUUUACUAUCUUUCUUAAUGCACUUUUCGUUAACAAGUCAACAUCAAUUUCUUUUAGUUGUAAAAGAGUCAUGAGGAAGGUGGCUUUUCUUUCGGAAAAGUGUUUAUAGCCUUGUGCCUCUGCAAUCGGAGAGAUUGAGGUCUGCAGCGUAGAUCCUUCGGGGUUAGAUACAUUUGUGCUAAGUUAUAGUCUUUUCAUAGACAACUUGUUGACUAUAAUUAAUCUUGUAACUUACUCGCUUACGCUAUUUUACCUACGCUUAGGAUGUUGAAGAUAUGCGCGACACG